AGUAUUUUAUUUAAAAUAUUGAUUUGUGGAAUCAAUGAUGAGAUAAUUAGUCUUCUUAAACU
rnacentral:tRNA from 1 species